rnacentral:rRNA from 1 species
GACGAACGCUGGCGGCGUGCUUAACACAUGCAAGUCGAACGAGUGGCGAACGGGUGAGUAACGCGUAGGUCACUACAUAUUAGAGGGGGAUAACUAUUGGAAACGAUAGCUAAUACCGCAUACUAGUAGAUGGACCUGCGUUGUAUUAGCUAGUAGGUGGGGUAAUGGCCUACCUAGGCAACGAUACAUAGCCGACCUGAGAGGGUGAUCGGCCACACGGUGACUGAGACACGGCCCAGACUCCUACGGUAGGCAGCAGUAGGGAAUCUUCGGCAAUGGGGGGAACCCUGACCGAGGAACGCCGCGUGAGUGAAGAAGGUUUUCGGAUCGUAAAGCUCUGUUGUGAAGGAAGCGGUACUUAACCAGAAAGGGACGGCUAACUACGUGCCAGCAGCCGCGGUAAUAC